rnacentral:rRNA from 1 species
AUUGAACGCUGGCGGCAUGCCUUACACAUGCAAGUCGAACGGCAGCACGGGUGCUUGCACCUGGUGGCGAGUGGCGAACGGGUGAGUAAAGCAUCGGAACGUACCAUUGAGUGGGGGAUAACGUAGCGAAAGUUACGCUAAUACCGCAUAUUCUCUCCGGAGGAAAGCAGGGGAUCGUAAGACCUUGCGCUCUUUGAGCGGCCGAUGUCGGAUUAGCUAGUUGGUGGGGUAAAGGCCCACCAAGGCGACGAUCCGUAGCUGGUCUGAGAGGAUGAUCAGCCACACUGGGACUGAGACACGGCCCAGACUCCUACGGGAGGCAGCAGUGGGGAAUUUUGGACAAUGGGGGCAACCCUGAUCCAGCCAUGCCGCGUGAGUGAAGAAGGCCUUCGGGUUGUAAAGCUCUUUCGCGAGGGAAGAAAACGUGCAGGUUAAUACCCUGUAUGGAUGACGGUACCUUGAUAAGAAGCACCGGCUAACUACGUGCCAGCCGCCGCGGUAACAC